UUACAACAGCCAUAGUUUAUUAGAUCUUACCUUAACAUGGAUACCUGUGGUAACCUAAGAGCUAAUACAUGCAACGAAGUCCUGAAAUAGGACGCAUUUAUUAGGACAAAACCAAUCGGGCUUGCCUGUUAGUUGGUGGAUCUGAAUAACUAUGCUGAUCGCACAGUCCUCGUACUGGCGAUGUAUCUUUCAAAUGUCUGCCUUAUCAACUGUCGAUGGUAGUAUACACGGCUACCAUGGUUGUAACGGGUAACGGAGAAUUAGGGUUCGACUCCGGAGAGGGAGCCUGAGAAACGGCUACUAC
rnacentral:rRNA from 1 species